rnacentral:lncRNA from 1 species
CGAAAAUGUUAUAUCUUUUGGAGUCAGGAAGCCAGGUCUCACCUCACAGCAAUCUCUAGCAGGAUCAGUUGCUGUUCAGAGAUGUAUUAAUAUCCAAGUUCAAAAGAGACAUAUAAUCGUAUGGAUUUCAAGGAUAAAAGAGUCAUCCAAGUUCAGUGGCAAGACAGAAAUCAGGAAGACUGGUGAUGGCCCAACAUCUUCAAAGUCUGACCAAGAUCUAAAGGCUACUCAGCACCUGAUUCAUCCACUUCCAUAGUCAUCAGAAGAAAUUGUUCCCAUUUUGCUGUGGGAGAAUUCAAAAAUUUAAACACUGAUAGAAACAAGGAAAGAGAGGUCAGCUGAUGUCUUGGCAGGACAGUGGAGAGAGGACAAUUGAAAGCUCAGAGGCUGACUCACCCUGAAACGUCAUUGAGAAGAAUUGCAAAUUCACUGAAGCAUCUAUUGAAACAGAAGAACUGACCACAGUGCAAAUGGUGGAAAAACUUUCAAG